GUUAUGGUGGCUACGGUGUGCUGCGAUCAAAUCCGAAGUGAGAAAGUUGCUAGUUUUAGAGCUGACGAGGAAUGGAAACAUUGCAAGGACGCUGUUCAAAAUGACUACGUUCCAGGGUUUGGGAAGAAAAUCAAUGGACUUCUUCAUAGAUGUUUAUCAGAGUAUGAUAAGGAGACUAUUUAUUAUGAUGAAGGCAUCAAAACAUCGAAAAGACAGCAACUAGAGUCUGAAAUUUUGCAGGUUCCUACAUAUUUUUGAGCUUUUAUGUUGCAUUUUUAGAUUACAGGCACUCGGCCAAGCUUUCUCAUGAUUGAAACCCAACGAAAAGGUAUGGAUACAAGCAAUGCGGAGAGGAAUAACAGCAAUGGUGCCUAAGCUUGCCAUGUAUGCUCACUUUAGUGCGUGAACUUGAAAAAUACGCACAACUGGUUCUAAAACUUGACAUGAACGUGCAAAUGCAGUGUUAAUCCCAUUUGUAGA